rnacentral:misc_RNA from 1 species
CCUUGGGAACACUAAGUUAAUAGCUACCUUCUUAAGGUAAUAUUUAAUCCUUGAUUUCUUAGUAGUAUAUACGUGCAAUAUUGCUUUGAGGCCUAAAAUGGACCUUAAUGAAACAAAGAUUCUUUGUGACACUUACAUUUACAACAUAUGGAAAAACAAAAAAUGUAGAGUACUCAAAUUAACCCAAUCAAAUGUUCUAGCUUAUAACAUCUACUCACCAUUUUAAGUUGGUAGCCAUGACAAAUUCUGUAAAAAUUUUCAUCAGUUCCCCUCAUGCCUGCCACUGUGUUACCAAAAAUAACAACCUAAUUCCUCGCAUGACACUGAGCUUCUAAGGUUUUAGCCAAAAAAGCCAUCAAUUUCAAUGUCUACAAUAUCUAUCAAUUGUCCUUCUCUUUGAAGGAGUCAAGAAGUAUACUUUUUUUUUUUUCCAAAGGAGUCGAGAUCGAAAUUAAUGUAAUACCCGGAAAACUUACAAAACCAUUUUAGUAAAUAUCUUGCUCAGUUUGUAGAUGAGCAUGGUGCAAUCUAACUCCAUUAUCCUUCCAUGUUUGAAAACAAAUCUAAUCUCCUUUUGUCGGCCUCUGAAGCGAAAAUCUUGGUGCAUUUAGUUGACUAGUAUCAGCUGUACUUGAGAAUGUUGUAUUCUUAUGUAUAGCUUCUCCAGAGGAAGCACUGUCCUUCACGCCUUCUGUCAACUCUAGGGAUGACUCAUGAGAAGUAUCAUUUGAAACAUUGCCAAGUAGGCUUUUGUACAUAGUCAGAGCUUGAGCCAUUAUAUUAGCAGGAUUG